ACAGGAGCAUUCAAAAGCCCACUGCCUCAGGGUCAGACGAUUCUGGGCAUGGAUGUGUCCCCCUAAUCAUAAACAGAGCUAUUACUUAUGUGGACAAAACACGCUCCAGCUGCACAGGUGCUGUGCCUGCGCCUGUAAGUGGCCCUCCAGUAACACCCGGCUGCCAGGAAACACGCACUGUUACGGGGGGAAAAUGCUUCGUGGAGAGCUGUGCUUGAACUCGGCUGAGGGUCACAUCCACUCUGCUGCUCCACUCAUGGGUUCCUAUGGAGCGACUCUAGCAGCCCCUCAGUGAUAAAGUCACAAACCUACUCACCUAAAGUGGCUGAACUAAAGAGAGAGCGAGUGAAAAAGGCAGCAAACAAAAGAGAAGGUCCUGAAAGUGUUUGACACAAAUUAUAGGCCACAGACGUAAAGACGAGAGCGAAGAGCAAACAACGAGGCCGGAAAGUGGAGGCACGCCCCCGUCUAAAAGACUUUGGAGAGAAGCUGGUGUUUUAAGUGUGGCAGACUGCUGUGACUCAUGUCUUGCCCCAGAGCACCUCCGAGCUGCUUAAAUUUGAUACCUUCUUAUCACUCCACCAAAUUGAAUUGACUUUAGAGGGGGGAAGGAAAGUCGACUGACCCACAUUUGUGACACACUUAGUUGCUCGAGCGGAAAUGGAACAUCGAGGAAGAGGGGAGUCGGAGAGGAAAAUUUGGGUGAUGGACAACAGAGUGGCGGCUUGGCAGAAAACUUUCUGAAUUCACUUCAACUCUAUAUUUACCAAUGAAGAAACAUUGAGGUCAUGUCUGCCUCUGCCAAGGCCCAACAGUCCCCUAGGAUUCAAUCAAGCUGCACCAAAUUUCACACACUCGUGGGUAUCAGCUCCCUAAAUGUGCCUGAUUUAAAAAAAAUCAUGAUACAUAAAUUACUCUUUGGGAAACUGUAGAAAAUUUUGAAAACUCCCUAUCACAAUGUCAAAGAAAUUGAAAAUAAACUCCUGGACCUGCCCCCUGAUCUGGAUCCCCACCAAAAUGUUAUCCUAAUCCUAAUCGAAUCCCAAAUUACAUGGAAAUCCAUUUAGUUGUUUUUGUUUAUUUUUGCUAACUAACUAAGAGACAGGUGAAAACAUAACCUCCUUUGUGCCGGUAACAACACUGUGAUAGUGGAUACAAAAGCCUGAGUAAAGACUUUGCUGAGGCUAAACAAGUCUGUCAGAGACUGUUCUGUUUGAAAUGUAACAUCUUCUGUUGAGGAAAAUGUUCUUUCCUGCUCUUUUAUAUUUGGUUUUGACAAGAUUUCUUUGAUUUAUUCCAACUUUUAUUCACUUUGUUCAUGUUUCUGUGUAGAGAUGUUAACAAUCUACAAUAAAGGCCAAAAUCACUCCCCUCAGAGCGUUGUUAAAACGCUCCGUGACACGAACAUUUGGAAAUGGAAAGACAGAAGCAAGAUAAUUGCGCCGAGAGUACAAAGGAAUGUGGCUUAAAAUGAGAAGCAGCAGGGCGGCAUGAAAACCCCAAACCCCUCGCUGGUGGGAAUUACAGGCCUCUUAAAUAUCAGAAGCAAAUCUAAUGUAAUUAUUUAGAUUAGUCUGCAUCAAAGCAAUCGAUGAUACAAAGUGAAAUAUGUCUGAGAGAGCUGUCGGAACCUGAGACAAGUCUAAUUCAGGGUUUUGUGGGAGUGAACACAAUAUACAGACCUCUGUUACACUCAUGUAGCUGCAAAUGAUUAACAAAGGGGGAAAAAAACUUCCUCUUUGUUCACUGUGAUUAUCUACUUACUAUCUACAUCUGUCUUUUUUUGAAGUCGUUAACUUGAACAGUCGGUCAUUUUCGUUCAGCAGCAGGACAUAAUGGGAAAUGUUCGAAAAGGCAAAAAGCCUAUAAUUGCCAGAUCAGCAAAUGGGACUUGAGUGUAAGCCCUGAUUCCUCCAGCAAAAUGAAUUAAAUAAAAUUUAUUGAGGUCUCUCGGUGAGGAUGGAAAAACCCGAAGCAUUAGUUGAGAUGAAUAGAGAGACAGAGCGGAGAGAGACAAAUGGCAGCUCUUUAUAUAUUAACAGGGCAAAAAAAUUGAUGUAGUGCGCACAUGCUCAGUGUUAUAAUAAGUAUGGCACACACUUAUAAAAGGAGUGAAAAAAUUAUGAGCUUGAAGAAGCUGUUCACGUUGAUCUUUAAUCUAACCCUGAGACAUUAAAGUUUUAUGUGAGCUUCUCUUUCUCAGAUAAGUACGAAGAGAGUGGAAUAAUCUCUACUGUAUUCUACAUAGCUACACCACAGACUGUAAAUAACGAUGGAAAAAAAGCAUACUUGUUUCAUCUUGGUCUGUUUGCCAGUUGACUGUGAAGUAAUUAUUCAUUUUUGAAACAAGACAGGUCGCAGGGAAGCUCAGCGUUUCGCACUUUGACAUUUUAUAUCUGGAUUCAUAUCUCAGCUUUGGUUAUCUGUGGAGUUUGAUCCUGAACAGUAGCAAGACCAGUGCUGCUAGUCAAGUGAACUGGUGAUUACGUACUGUAAGUCUUAUUCAGAUAUGAGCUAAUGAAAAUGUCCAGAUGAUUAGGUGUGGAGUUUACCUUUCACAUAUGAGGAACGUAGCAGGCAAUUGUCUGGGUCAGAGGCGUUCACAACAGCAGGAAAAUGUCCGGAGCAUUCAGAGUAGAGCAUGCAGGACGCUGGACAUGACGUAUAUAUUCCACUGCGGAAAGCACAGUGUUUUUUUGUGCGACGCCAGCAACCUUAUCACCUAAUGUUGUCAAAUCUCUUCUUCUUUCCACGUUGACAUCUUAAUCUGUAACUUCUACGAGUAACUUCUAUUUCAUCCUGAGAUAUUUGUAUUCUUUUUUGUGAGUUUUACAUCCGUUGUGCCAUCAGACUCUCCAGAGAAUCUCCUGCUGUUUUCUCACAUGGACUCACUCUCCAGACAUUCUACUCGGGGGCUGGCAGGAAAACUGAUUCGGAAAGCAGCAGUACAUUACUCUUAGACGUGAUUGAGAAAUUUAAACAUGUUUGUCUCCUAUAUCCAACUUGUGAUUAAAAAUCUCCUCUUCCCUUU